rnacentral:rRNA from 1 species
GAUGAACGCUGACAGAAUGCUUAACACAUGCAAGUCAACUUGAACUUCGGUUUGGGUGGCGGACGGGUGAGUCACGCGUAAAGAACUUGCCUCACAGCUAGGGACAACAUUUGGAAACGAAUGCUAAUACCUGAUAUUAUGAUUUUAGGGCAUCCUAGAAUUAUGAAAGCUAUAUGCGCUGUGAGAGAGCUUUGCGUCUCAUUAGCUAGUUGGAAAGGUAACAGCUCACCAAGGCGAUGAUGGGUAGCCGGCCUGAGAGGGUGAACGGCCACAAGGGGAGAGAGGAACGGCCCAUACACAUACGGGCGGCAGCAGUGGGGAAUGUUGGACAACAGACCAAGAAUCUGAUGCAGCUAUUCGGUGUGAACGAUGAAGUUUUUCGGAAUGUAAAGGGAUUUCAGUUGCGAAGAAAAAAAUGACGGUACCGACAGAAGAAGGGACGGCUAAAUACGUG